GCCCGCUUGGCCCAGUGGUAAGGCGUCGCACUUGUACCUCUCAGUUAUGCGAAGAUCGAGUGUUCAAUUCACUCAGUGGGCA
rfam:Drechmeria coniospora strain ARSEF 6962 chromosome 02, whole genome shotgun sequence.